GAUCAUGGCUCAGGAUGAACGCUAGCUACAGGCUUAACACAUGCAAGUCGAGGGGCAGCAUUGGAGUAGCAAUACUUCAGAUGGCGACCGGCGCACGGGUGAGUAACACGUAUCCAACCUGCCGCUUACUCGGGGAUAGCCUUUCGAAAGAAAGAUUAAUACCCGAUGGUAUAAAGAGUUCGCAUGUUCUCUUUAUUAAAGAAUUUCGGUAAGCGAUGGGGAUGCGUUCCAUUAGAUAGUUGGCGGGGUAACGGCCCACCAAGUCUACGAUGGAUAGGGGUUCUGAGAGGAAGGUCCCCCACAUUGGAACUGAGACACGGUCCAAACUCCUACGGGAGGCAGCAGUGAGGAAUAUUGGUCAAUGGACGAGAGUCUGAACCAGCCAAAGUAGCGUGAAGGAUGACUGCCCUAUGGGUUGUAAACUUCUUUUAUAAGGGAAUAAAGUGAGGGACGUGUCCCUUUUUGUAUGUACCUUAUGAAUAAGGAUCGGCUAACUCCGUGCCAGCCGCCGC
rnacentral:rRNA from 1 species